UUAAAUUGAAGAGUUUGAUCAUGGCUCAGAUUGAACGCUGGCGGCAGGCCUAACACAUGCAAGUCGAACGGUAACAGGAAGAAGCUUGCUUCUUUGCUGACGAGUGGCGGACGGGUGAGUAAUGUCUGGGAAACUGCCUGAUGGAGGGGGAUAACUACUGGAAACGGUAGCUAAUACCGCAUAACGUCGCAAGACCAAAGAGGGGGACCUUCGGGCCUCUUGCCAUCGGAUGUGCCCAGAUGGGAUUAGCUUGUAGGUGGGGUAACGGCUCACCUAGGCGACGAUCCCUAGCUGGUCUGAGAGGAUGACCAGCCACACUGGAACUGAGACACGGUCCAGACUCCUACGGGAGGCAGCAGUGGGGAAUAUUGCACAAUGGGCGCAAGCCUGAUGCAGCCAUGCCGCGUGUAUGAAGAAGGCCUUCGGGUUGUAAAGUACUUUCAGCGGGGAGGAAGGGAGUAAAGUUAAUACCUUUGCUCAUUGACGUUACCCGCAGAAGAAGCACCGGCUAACUCCGUGCCAGCAGCCGCGGUAAUACGGAGGGUGCAAGCGUUAAUCGGAAUUACUGGGCGUAAAGCGCACGCAGGCGGUUUGUUAAGUCAGAUGUGAAAUCCCCGGGCUCAACCUGGGAACUGCAUCUGAUACUGGCAAGCUUGAGUCUCGUAGAGGGGGGUAGAAUUCCAGGUGUAGCGGUGAAAUGCGUAGAGAUCUGGAGGAAUACCGGUGGCGAAGGCGGCCCCCUGGACGAAGACUGACGCUCAGGUGCGAAAGCGUGGGGAGCAAACAGGAUUAGAUACCCUGGUAGUCCACGCCGUAAACGAUGUCGACUUGGAGGUUGUGCCCUUGAGGCGUGGCUUCCGGAGCUAACGCGUUAAGUCGACCGCCUGGGGAGUACGGCCGCAAGGUUAAAACUCAAAUGAAUUGACGGGGGCCCGCACAAGCGGUGGAGCAUGUGGUUUAAUUCGAUGCAACGCGAAGAACCUUACCUGGUCUUGACAUCCACGGAAGUUUUCAGAGAUGAGAAUGUGCCUUCGGGAACCGUGAGACAGGUGCUGCAUGGCUGUCGUCAGCUCGUGUUGUGAAAUGUUGGGUUAAGUCCCGCAACGAGCGCAACCCUUAUCCUUUGUUGCCAGCGGUCCGGCCGGGAACUCAAAGGAGACUGCCAGUGAUAAACUGGAGGAAGGUGGGGAUGACGUCAAGUCAUCAUGGCCCUUACGACCAGGGCUACACACGUGCUACAAUGGCGCAUACAAAGAGAAGCGACCUCGCGAGAGCAAGCGGACCUCAUAAAGUGCGUCGUAGUCCGGAUUGGAGUCUGCAACUCGACUCCAUGAAGUCGGAAUCGCUAGUAAUCGUGGAUCAGAAUGCCACGGUGAAUACGUUCCCGGGCCUUGUACACACCGCCCGUCACACCAUGGGAGUGGGUUGCAAAAGAAGUAGGUAGCUUAACCUUCGGGAGGGCGCUUACCACUUUGUGAUUCAUGACUGGGGUGAAGUCGUAACAAGGUAACCGUAGGGGAACCUGCGGUUGGAUCACCUCCUUACCUUAAAGAAGC
rnacentral:rRNA from 1 species